AUUGGAAUGAGUACAAUUUACAUCUCUUCACGAGGAUCAAUUGGAGGGCAAGUCUGGUGCCAGCAGCCGCGGUAAUUCCAGCUCCAAUAGCGUAUAUUAAAGUUGUUGCAGUUAAAACGCUCGUAGUCGGAUUUCGGGGCAGGUUUGCCGGUCUGCCGAUGGGUAUGCACUGGUAGAACUGUCCUUCCUUCCGGAGACGGCGCCUACUCUUAACUGAGCGGGUGUCGGAGACGGAUCGUUUACUUUGAAAAAAUCAGAGUGUUUCAAGCAGGCAGCUCGCUUUUGCAUGGAUUAGCAUGGGAUAAUGAAAUAGGACUUUGGUGCUAUUUUGUUGGUUUCGAACACCGAAGUAAUGAUUAACAGGGACAGUCAGGGGCACUCGUAUUCCGCCGAGAGAGGUGAAAUUCUUAGACCAGCGGAAGACGAACCACUGCGAAAGCAUUUGCCAGGGAUGUUUUCACUGAUCAAGAACGAAAGUUAGGGGAUCGAAGACGAUCAGAUACCGUCGUAGUCUUAACCAUAAACCAUGCCGACUAGGGAUUGGAGGAUGUUCCUAUGUGACUCCUUCAGCACCUUUCGGGAAACUAAAGUCUUUGGGUUCCGGGGGGAGUAUGGUCGCAAGGCUGAAACUUAAAGGAAUUGACGGAAGGGCACCACCAGGAGUGGAGCCUGCGGCUUAAUUUGAC
rnacentral:rRNA from 1 species